rnacentral:sRNA from 1 species
GCUGGGUGCAGUGGUGCACGCCUGUAAUCCCAGCAACUUGGGAGGCUGAGGCAGGAGGAUCGCGAGUUCAAAGCCAGCCUCAGCAGAUUAGCGAGGUACUUAGCAACUCGGUGAGGCCCUGUCUCUA